rnacentral:rRNA from 1 species
AACGAACGCUGGCGGCGUGCCUAACACAUGCAAGUCGAGCGCGAAUGGAGCAAUCCUAGUAGCGCGGCGCACGGGUGCGUAACACGUGGGUAAUCUGCCUGGGAGACCGGAAUAACCUGCCGAAAGGCUGGCUAAUACCGGAUAAGCCCACGGACUCUUCGGAGUCUGAGGGAAAGGUGGCCUCUGUAUACAAGCUAUCACUUCCAGAUGAG